GCCAGGCAGAAAGAGGACAACAUGCAGUGCAGUGUGUGUGUGUGUGUGUGUGUGUGUGUGUGUGUGUGUGUGUGUGUGUGUGUGUGUGUGUGUGAUCAUUGAGGGGCAGCAGAGAAGGUCAGACAUGUUGGGGGGAUUUAAAUGGGAUUUCUUUUCCUUCAGCCUUAAAAAGGUACAGCGGAGACACAACACUGAAAUUGGGUCAAGGAAAUGGGUGAAGGUGAGUGCACCCCCAACCCACAUACACACACAUACACACACACACACACACACACACACACACUCUGCAUACACUGGGGGUCUGGGGGAAAACCCACAGAGUGCAGAAGAGUUCACCCUGGAAGUAAUUGGGCAUUUAUUUCUAGAAAACCCCUGGAAAAAAAGCAGCAGUUUUUGGAAUCGUGUGACCCUUGGGACUGCCAGAAAACACUCCUUAUUCAAAGAAAUUCAUCUUAAAUAUUUAAUACUUGUCUGAAAUACCUUACAUGAAUUUUUUAAGUACCAUACAUUAGCUCCACAGCCAUUGUUACGCAUUUUCAGAUUGACUUUCUUUCAUACGCGAUGUUGAAUGCAGUGAUGUAAUAAGCAUUUCCCUGUUUCCCGGCCGACAGUAUCCAUGGAUGCAGUUACUCAUGUUUGCAGGGCUUCUCUUUGUGUGUGUGUCUGCAUUGUGAGCUUGAAAAAAGAAGGGGAGAGAGAGGCACAUGUUGAGACUGCAGGAAACAAAUUAUGUGUUCUGGACUAAAUGUACUGUUUAUUUCAUGAGAACAGUGUAGUGAGGACUUAGAGGAUGAGAGGCUGUGAUGGGACCUCCUGACACAGAGUUUGACAUUGUGAGUCCUGCAGCUAAAGCACAAGAGCUUGGUGAGGAAAAAUGGGUCUUUUUUUACUGAAAGCCAUGACAUCAAUAUGGUUAAAAUGUGUAACACUUAAAUUCCACCUCAUCAGUGUUGGAUACAUCUUUGUUCUGCAGUAGAGUAGAUUGGAUCAUAGCUAUUGCGUUUGGGAUCAGUUUUCUCUUGUUAUAUUCUUCUGUUGGACUGAAACCAGUCUAAGCCUUCUUGGCUAGCUUGGGCUUUGUACCUGAAGCUGGAUAGUAUAAAUGUGCUGCUUCUAAGCCAGGAAGAAAACUAAACUAGGGGGACCAUAUUCUGAAUCCCUAAAAAGAGGACACUACUACACGGGGUGGAGUCACGGAGUCACGUGUAGUAAAUUUCGAGAGUUUUUCGGGUCGAGUCGAUUGUCUUUUACGUGCUUCUAACUCAUUUGGUCCAUGCGACACGAACUCAAAACUUCCACUUAAAAAACCUGGAAAUUUGAAGGAUUUUGUAAACUCUCCCAGACAAGGCCGGACAAGCCCGGACAGCCCCCCCCCCAAAAGAAGACAUGUCCGGGUAAAAGGGAUGUAUGGUCACUCUAACUAAACCUAAAAGUAAGACAAAUCUGUCAUAUUGUACAAACAAAAGUACAGGGCUGUGGAAGUGAACAUUCUGCGAGCCACAGGCUGAUGCGUUUUGUUGAUUUUGGUAUGUAACAGGCCAACAGAGAGAAGAUCCAGCAGGAAUUAGCUAAAAACGGGCAUGUCGCCCCCUACUGUAGUGGAGGUAGACAUGCCUCUGUUAUUAAUUUGAUUCUUAUCUGUUGGUUGUAAACUGGGAUAAAGACAGUAUUCUACCUAAAUCACCUAAUUAAACUCGACUCAACUGUGCAUGUUAACGUACGGACCUACGCUUCUGCUCCGUCUCCACUCAGCACUGGCAAUCCAAAGCCAUCUGCUGCUUAUACUAAUGGCUUCUAUUUUUGCUGGAUGCUGGAGCACAACGCCACGACCUGCUCAGGGGAGAUUAAGGAAGACAGGAAGUCAGACACUGAGACAACAUUAAAACAUCUGUUUAAGUUUCAAAAUAGAGCACUCUGUGUUGACGCCAGAUUGUGUUCCUCUUAACUACACCAAUGAAUCUGAUCUGUUAGAAGUAAGUAGUAUGCCUUUUUUGUUACAUAACACUGCUGUAAAAGUCCCACUCCAAUAGUUUUAUACUACUUAAAGUGUUAUCAGUGGUCUUUAAGUUGUGAUUAUGAAGUUUCUAGUUUCUCAAGUGGGUCUUUAAAACAUUUGGGUAUUCAAAAUCAACACAAACAAAAAGUUUCUCAGUGGAGCUUUAAAGUAAUCUCGAUACAUUAGAGCUGUUAUUCUUCUAUAAUGUGCUGAAAAGGAGCAGCCUCAACAAUUUAUACACAGCAAACAAAGUUUUGUGUUUAUGUAGGGCCCUUUGUAUGACAGUAAGUUGUGUGUAUUUGCGUAUGUAUGCUCGUAUGUGUGUAUUACCAUGUAUUUGCUUGCUGUGUGUGUGUGUGUGACAGUGACAAAUGGCAGCGUCCUCCAGUUCAUCAGUGAAGUGGCUGUUGCUUUGUGUGUCUGAUGAUAGCUAACAAUAACUACUACGAGGCUUAAAAUGACUCGUAAUUACAUCGCACAUUUCAUAACAAGGUCCUGAGCUCAAUACUCCGCCAGAUUUGUUUUUAAGUCACGUUAACAUCAUCACAUCAUCACUGCGGUGGCACUGACAAACGACCGAGUGUGCAGAAUACUCAGCAUGGGCGGCCUCAGCACGAGGUCUAAUUCAAUUUAAUCCAAAUUUGUUCUAGCGAGCUGCUCAUUAAGUUGAAGGUUUGUUUGUCUUCAGAAAACAUUAGCUGAAAGUAGAUCUAUACGCUGUAAUUGAACUCCUGUGUAAACUAGGCGAACACAAACUCAUCAUUCAGUGUAAUGACUUUUAUCCUUUUUUCUGAUGGUAAUGGAUAAGAUGAACAGGAGGGGACGCUGGCAUAUAAAGAUAAUUAAUGCCCCCUCAGAAAAUAGUGCAAUGGUCAAAAACUCCUCCUGAAUUGUAUGAGUUCUCAUCUCCACAAGCUCCUGACUCCUCGCCAAACAAAUUAAAUUAGGAACCUGAUAGGAACCUAUUAAAAAGGCAAUCUGGGAGUUUUCGUCUCUCACUGAUGGAUUAGAAGUCAAAGCCAAUUUUAGGUUUCUAAGCUUCAGCAGCAAUGUAAAAUUUACGUGACUGCAAAACGUCAAAAAGCAGAAAGCAUGAGUGCAAAAUGAUGCAUAUCAGGCUUUUUACACUUGGUGAGUGUUGGCUGUGCUGUCAGCCUGAUCUUUCUGCUUAAGUUGCACCCAAAAUAUAACUAUUAACUAUUAUUAUCAAGGGUGACCAUACAUCCUCUUUUACCAGGACAUGUACUCUUUUUUGGGGGCUGUCUGGGUUUAACUGGGAAAGUUUAUAAAAUCCUUUAAAUGUCUGCGGUUUUGUACGUAAGUUUUGAGUCUGUGUCAUGCAGACUUACUAAGUUAAGAAAAAGACACUAGAUCUGACCCGAAAAGCUCUCAAAAUUGACUUUGUGCGACUCCGUGAUUCCAGCCCUAUGUAGUCGUGUCCUCUUUUUCAGAAGUCAGAAUAUGGUCACCCUGUAUUAUCAAAACUCUUUGACUUAAUAAAUGGCAUUAAAGUAGAUUUUUUAAAGGGGAAGGACAUGUUUGCUAUACCUGUUCCUGAAAGUGUUAGAAUAUGUUUAUAUUUCUUUGUUGCUGAUACAAGGUCCAUAAACUGUCUCUGUUUGCUGAGGACUUUAUGUGGCUCAGGGUUCAAUUAGGCUAGCCUUGGUUGGAUUGUAGGGUGACAUAGCUGCAUUGUUACAUUUUUUUAUGGUUUGGUUUGUUUACACUCUUCACUUGGUCCACUUGACCAAACUGUCUGGACAUCAUGCAAUUAUAACAACUGCUUAUUUAAAGAUGAGGAAGUGAAUAACUAAUUUAUUGAGCAUUACAAAAAAUGGUAAUUGACUAUAUUUGAUAUGGUCUAAACAUAGGCAUUUCAUCAGCGUCAUUAGAUUGUAGGGUAAAACCAUAAACAUCGGUACCAUGCAUGUGCAGCUCUUUGACGCCGAACAUUGUUGUGCACUUUGAAUCUGCUUUGCCCCUUCACACAAUUGUUUUGUGCUCUUCGUAACCUUUCCACCCCGAGCCCAACACCUUUACAGAUGUCUCCCAGGGCUAUCCAAUAUUUGACUUUCCUCCUGACAUUGUUAUGUUCACACUCUUGAACCUCUGAAGAGUGAUUCACAGUGAAGCCUCAACCCGAUUACAGUCUGUUCAGUGUUGGCUACCAGGCAGCCCAGAUUUUAUCUGACAAGUAUGGACAACUCUGUCUCUCCCCUGCUGCUGUCUCCUGUCAGCGGGAGCAACAAGCACAAGGCCAGAAGACUUUAGGUUAAAAAAUGACGAUGCGCUUAGAUGCACAUUCAGCUCACGAGCACGCCUCUGAUGACUCUGAGUGUUUUUUCCUUCACGUCUAUCAGCAGAUUGUAUCAGUGCCCACCAAGCAGCAAAUGCAAAUAAACUCUCUUUCUUUCUCUGUGCUAUUGAAGUAAGAAAACACAUACCAUUAGAGAUAUUGAAAAUAUGUUGACACAUCCCCACGCUUAAUUUCCCUUUGUAAUUUAGCAUGCAAUUUGCAACACAAACUAAAGCCAGCAAGGCCCUUAAUCUGUUCCUGUUAGACGUCUCUCUCUCUCUCUCUCUCUCUCUCUCUCUCUCUCUCUCUAUGUCUGCUUGUAUUGAUCUCUGCUGCUCUCUGUGUCCAUUAGUGGCCCAGGAGGCAGACGCUCUGUCUCUCCACAGUGUGUGGGGGUCUGUACGAAGGUUUAUCAGAUACUCAUCAAACACUGCAGACUCACCACAGCAGAAGCCUCAUUUUGGAGAAUGUCACAGUUAUGAUAAACCUUUUCAGAGUCAAUUUUAAAAAAGAGACAAUUUUCGGUUGAUAUUUUGUCAAAGCUGAUAAACUGGAUUAAGAUAUGAUCCAUCUGGAGCGGGAUAAUAUUUCAAUAAUUAUGUCUACAAAAAAAAAAAAAAAAUUGAGUUCAAGAUAUUUAAGAAAAUUGCAGCUGAAUCAAAAAGGGUUGAUUGCAACAGGCUCAUAAAAUUCAUUGAAAUUUUCUGAUUCUUUUUUUCAGAUUCUUAGAAAAAAAUAAAUAAAGAUAAUGAUAAAUUUUAAAACCUAAGUGGACAAAAUCAUUACCAGAGCCUUAUCUAAAGGAAAACAACAUCCAAAUAAUCCCUGGAGUUAUUUAUUUUAAUUAUUUGGGCCAAAAAAAUUACAAUUUCAAAGCACAUUACAUUACAAUUUCAAAAUAUCAUUUCUUUUCUGUUUGGAAAAAUAUUAUCACAAAAGCUUGUGUGUAAUGUGAUCCAUUAAGAAAGAGAUCCAAUGCUUCAAGUAUGACCAACAGUUUAAGGUUUUGUCUGUUUACAACUUUUUUCACAACUUGAGAAGCAAUAAUGAAUGUCCAGCAUCUCCAAACAACAUUGAUUAGUUAAGUGUUAUCUUUGUCUGCAUAUCCUCUUAAAGCUCUUGUGUGAAACUUUUGCUUUGUGUUAAGGGGAACUACUUCAGUACUUGUAUUUUCCAUUUCAAGGCCAGAUAUUUGUGCCCUGUUACACCUCAUCAGUAAUGUGUAACCACGUGACAUAUAGUGGAGUCAAUCGGUUAAAUCUCUGAUCCUCCCUCGCAGGUAGAGGCAGAAUGGAGCAGAAGAAAGUGGCGAUGUGUGGCAGCAGCGUGGGACAAUGUGGUGUGUGUGUGUGUGUGUGUGUGUGUGCGUGUGUGUGUUUAUGUGGCAGUCCUGCUGUGUCUUUACAAGCCACACCUGUACCACUUCUGCAAUGAUGUAAUUCAAUGUGUCAUCACACUCUUGGACACCAAUACUACGCUGUCUGGAUAUGCAGUGUGAAAAUACCAUAGACUGUAUGAUAGAUGACAUAGCACAAGUGACCCGUUUGUGUGUGAAGCAAAGAUUUGAAGCCAGAGGAACGGCUGCCAUAUUGGAAAUCCUGACCUUGUCGCCCCUUUGUCCAACCUCACAAAAGGGGCGAUAGUUUUGGCAAUAGUUACAAUGUGCCCACCUCUCAGUUAAGGGGAUAUUCCAGCGUAAAAUCAUUUUAGUGUCAAACACACCAUAACACAGAGUCAGACACCCCCACGAGAGAUGAAUGUUGCUGACUGCUUGCUUCUCUAGUCAUACCAACUUUAGUAACGACCGCAGGAGAGCAAUAAACAGCGGUCUGAGGAGCCAACCCACACACCUCAACCAAAAAGCCACUCUAUAGCCACAAAUAAUGCUCAGAACAGCACCUAACUUCAUCAACAGUACAUAUAGGGUCCCAGCCACAGCACUAGCCACCACUCAUAUUUUUAGCUUUUCCUAGUUUCCUUAGCAAAGAGACUAAACACAACUCACCUACUCUCUUCCAGCAGCCGCUUGUUUGUAGGAAAACCUAGGACAAGUCUUGAAGUAAUAAUCACCAUAUUAAUCAUUUUGCACUGCAGACGCGGUAGUUCUUCUGCCUUAGCGUCUCGGUCUGAUUGCAUUUCCAUGAAGAAAUGAUCAUAAAUGUUUUUCCUUGAGCUGUGUCACCCGGCUGCAGUCGGUGAUGGACUUGUCCUAAGUUUUCCUACAAACAAGCAGCUGCUGGAAGAGAGUAGGGAAGUUGUGUUAUGUCUCGCUGGAGUAUCCCUUUAAUUGAGAGGCAGGCACACUGUAACUAUUGCCAAAACUUUCACUCCUUUUGUGAGGUUGGACAAAAGUUACGUUGAGUCAAGAUUCUAUCCAGAUCAAACCCGUUUUUGAACCAGGCUUCGAGUAUGUAUAUUUCAGCUCUAAGAAUGGGCUUCUUUUAAAAAGUAUGUACAGUAUGAAUUAAGGUCAGAAUACCUCCAUUACCAAAACCUGGUACUGCAUCUAUGUGUUUUUCAUUUUAAUGCUGACUCUGUAUAGAGAGAUUUAUCACAUGGCAGUGACUUUACACUCAGGCUAUAAAAGUUCAAUACAGUUUAGGCACAUGAGCCCAGUGUAGCAGCUAAUGAAACCCAUUGCUCUUGUUGAUAUACGAAAGUAGAUGGUGGGCUUUUGUUUCAUACUUAUCAGAAAAAGUGUUUCUUUGCAGGAGAUUCCCCAAAGAAAGUCAUUUUUCAUGGGCAAUGCAAUACCCAAAGAGCCAUAGUGUGUACAGAGCCACCAAAACUCAUCAACAGUGUUUCUAUAAGUAAAUCUAUCUUACAAGUGGCUCUCAGCCAGAAACAAGCAGCCCAUCUUAAGUGGACAUGAUGUUUUCCCUUGACCUAGUAUCACCCGUAUCGACCAUCUCACCUAUUUAUCUGAAUGCAUCAGUGGCGUGUCUGAACAAGCGAGCGAGAAGGAGAGUUAGAUACCGCACUUAAAAACACAGCAAAUAUUCAGAGUGGCUACAAGAGGCUCAUUAAAUUUUGAUGCUCUCCUCUCUCUGCAGCUCUUAUCCAAGGUAAUGGAGGCUAAUUAGUGCUCACACAUACACAGCAUCGUUAAUGGGGAGUAACAGAAUCUGUCCUCUUGAUUCAGAUGACUCUCAGUGCUUCCCUUACCGGAGGACAAACAAAAAAUAGUGCUGAAUGCUUAAACUGUGUCCACCAAAGGAAAAUCUCUGCCUGGAAUUAGAGCCAGGAAGUGUGGAUGUUUUCUGCAAGUAAACAGCAUAUAAACAUGUUCCUUUAAGGCCUCUUUGCACUGCAGUAAUAUUUUUUUAAUUCACUUUAAGGCUCUGAGGAGUUUUACCUGAGCUUAAAAGCAGGAGUAUAGCUCUAACUUCUGAUUCUGACUCUCCAAAAAGUCUGCUCUCCUGAGGUUCAGCUUUCUUUCUUUAAUAUCAACAAAAGGUCAAUUUCACAUGGUGUGACACUCCAGAGUUUUUGACUUAAUGAAAGCAGGCCUUCAAUCUGAGAGUGGCUUCAUAACAGGGCACAGCACGAUAAAUCCAAUCUUUCUACCAGGGUUUACUGCGAACCAAAACUUUUCAUUGAAGCUGUGAUUGUACUCACAACAGACAUCUGUACUGUGGUCAAACAGGGGGAAAUACGUGUUUAUGUGGCUGUUUUUCACCAUUUUGCCCUUCCUCCCUACUUAAUUUAUCAGCAACUGAAACAACAGUGGAGAGUGAAAAACCUGAGGAAAUCUGGUGGGGGUUGCAAUCCCUAGUGGCCCCACGAUACGAUAUUAUCACGAUACUUGGGUCACAAUGCAAUAUUAUUGUGAUUUUUAACGUUUUGCAAUACAGUAAGUAUUGCAAUCCAAUAUAUACAAUUUUUUCAACUGUUAAGCUAAUUUAGCAUUUGUCUUUACUUUAUAUUCAUCUUAAUGCUGUAUUUUAUUUUCAUGUAGCACUUCUUGCAAACCUUAUAUUUUGUUGUACUAACUUUUUCCUGCUCUAUGAUGUCACCUCUGCCAACCUCACUGGACAAACAGUUGAUUUUAUUUUCCAUUAUCGUAGAUUUGACUUCCUUUUAGCAAUUAAUUUAAAAAAUAGCUACUUGGUAAAUGAGACAAUAUGAUAUAUCACCAGACAAAAUAUCACAAUACUAUGCUGUAUUGACUUUUUCUCCCACCCCUAGAAUCUGGGCAAUGUAAGUGUAGAUAAAUUGAGUUACUAUUAAGAACAUACAUCUUAAAUUCUAUACUCUUACUGUUACGUAAGGACAGAAUAAGGUGUCCAGUUAUCAGAAAUGGAGACCUGAACGCGCCCAGUUAAGUCUCAUCACUACUGAUAAAUGGACACCACAGAGGGCAUUAUCCCUCAUAUACCACUGUCACUUAUAAAAGAAAAUAACUAAUCAGACCAGUGAUUUAUAUUGUCAUACAUUUUGUGUUAAACCUAGAAGAUGCUGAACAAGCAAGAACUCAGUAUUCUUCACAACAUAACAAUUAAUCAUUACAAUCCCAUAAGGUGCUUAUGUAAUAAAAAUGUAGUUCAGCAUUCCAGUAAAUAGGACGGGACAUACAUACAACAUACAGAAAUAAACUAGUUAUCUCAGCUGACUACACCCUGCUGUCAGCCAGAGAGCGAGGCUAGCAUGAAGUCAAUGACAUUGUGCACGUUGGACAAACAGUUGGCCUAAAUGUAGUUGGCCAGCCAUAUCACUGUUUCCAAAUCAAUAACAAAUGUUAUAAAGACAGUGACUGAAGUUACAUUGCAGAGUUAAAGCUCAGACAGACAGAGAAACAGGGUUGAGGUGGCUAAAUACACCUAAACUUAGUUUUUAAUGUUUUUCAAAUCAAACAAAAGACUCACCUUUUCACUAGAAAAUCAUUGUUAAACAUUGGACAGUUCAGCCAAACCACUUUGUCUCACUGUAAACCUGAGUACAGGCUGUUUCCUACAGCUGGUGGGUUUGGAGGGUGUCCUCCUGUGAUGCUCAGAGGAUAUCACACUGGUAGACAAAUAAAAUAUUCAGAGUUUUUAUGCUGCGUUCGAGUUACCUAGGAAGUCAGAAGUCCGAGCUGGGAAUGACGUCACACCCGAGUUCCCAGGGUUUCAGUUACCAAGUCGGAAGAAAGCAAAAUCUGAGGCAGAAACAAGAUGGCUACAUCUACGAAAGUUAUUUAAGCACUUGCCUUAUCCAAAUAUAAGCAAGGACAAGGCAAGCGCUAAAAUUACUUUCGUAGAUGUAGCCAUCUUGUUUACGCCUCCGAUUUUGCUUUCUUCUGACUUGGUACAGGCAACUUGGGUGUGACGUCAGACAUCUGACUUCUGAGGUAACUCGAAUGCAGCAUAAGAUUUUAGUCAUUCCUAGAGCGCCAGAGUUUGCAACUGUUGCUAUGGUUACACUCUCCAAUACUGAUGGCAGCACUGUAACCUGAAACAGUGUUGAAUGUUAGCUAGUGCUGUCAGCAUGCUAACAUAAGUUGUUUUGACAGUCAAUCCAAUUUGUUUUAUUACUUUUGAAUAUUGCCUGACUCUUCUGAUUGUUAACUCAGUUGCGAUUUAUCAUGUCACGUCAUUGUCUCUGUUUAGUGAUGACAAAUUUGUAUGUUAAUGACAGCAACUUUUUUAGUGACAAAAUCAGUAGUGAUGGUGUCAAAAUAUGACAGGACUACAAUGUGCAGAAACCUCACAGAUGUCACAUCUUACUCAAAAAUGAGAAUGCCCAGAACUGAGGAUUUACGGUGAAAUUUUCAACCAGCCCAACUUCCCCUUCUUGAUCUUCUCAGUAGCUUGGUCUGUUUUUCUCUGUCUUUGAGUUAGAAGAUCAUGUCAGAUGAAGUGAUAAAAGCAUUUUUGACGGCUGUUUCACCAUCUUUCAUGUCUGCUCAGAGCAGCCAGACUUGAAACAUCCUGGUCAGGAAAACAGAAAUCAUUUCAGAUCAUGUUUGACAACUCCUCAACGGCACUGGACACGUCUUCUCUUUCUUUUUCCCCUCUUCUUUUUCUGCUUUCCUCCCGUUUUUCUGUGAGUGAGUUUUCAAACAGCUAAGCCUGUGCCUCCCAUCACCGCUAUUUCACUCUCAUUACCUGAAUUACUGUCAUUUUCUGCUCUGUGCCACAACGCAGUGAUUGCAUGUAGGGCCGAGAGACAAAGCAGCAGGAGAGCUCAUCUCUGUGAUUCCACUGAUGGAUGCAUACGAACAUGUGAGUCUUAUUUACCGUGCUGCCUGUCUGUAUUUUGUUUUCAUCUUGUUUUUGAUCUGUGUAGCGUGAAAAAUUGCAGGCAUGGAAACAGGAAACAAUAUCAUUAUUAUAUUUAACGUGCAUCUGUAACCACAUAUUUUUUCUUUUAUCCAGACCUUCAUCAAAAACCUGUAGGACGGUCUAAACGUGCAUUAGAGUCGUCUUACAUGAGCAGUUUAAAACCUCACUGAAGUGAAAAUCUAAUCUUAGACGAAGACCAAGGAUCAGACAUUUUCACCACAACAUGUCAUCAUAGCUCAGAAGUGAAGAUCAGUGAGUGUUGACAGCUUUAGCCUUAGCACAUAUUCACUUUUAUGUAACCAUUAACUUUGAGCUAAACACUGCACACUUUACUGCUGUUUUAUUGAUGUGUUUUAAAGCCUUGCAGUUAUUUCUCCUUAUUUUGUGAACUGGAUUUUUAUCUAAAGAAAAAAGAACUCACAGUCCACUUAGCGACUUAAACAGUGUCAGUAUUUUUUCAAUCAAAAGCAAAACAUUAAUUUUUUUUUUUCUGAUGAGUCACAGUGAAUAUUUAGUGACACUAACUUUUGGUUAGGGUAACCCUUUCCACCACAGAAGACUUCAAGGGAGAAGACUUAUGGGGCGCUCACGCCAAGCGCGAAUAAAACGAUCUACCCGCUUAAUUUGCGUAAAUCUAGACGCGUGAAUAAAUAGCAUUUACCCGCUUCAUUCGCGCGUCAACAGUAAUUUCAACAGUAAUCCCUGCCAAUUCAACCAGAUCAAGUGAUACACAAAGGUCUUUUACAAUUUACCACGUAAUCCAACCUCCUCACUCACUUGCUUCCAGGUGAGCUCCUUUUUUAUUCCGGUUUCGGUGAUUGAAAGAAAUGUAUCUUUCAUUCAGGGCACCCACACGCUGGCACGAUCAGUUUGUCCUCCAUUUUAUAUCCCAGUGAGCAACCGUCUGUUUCCACACAUCACCUUGCAACCUUUGUGCUGAUUAGUUGACGCGAUGGGAAUAUCCGCCCAUAUUGAGAUUGGUGUGUGGAGACAGUCAGAAGGUGCUCUGGGGAUCAAAUGGAGUUGGAUAUUGUAUUCCUCCACUGGGGGACAACAGAGGAGAACAGUCUGAUAGGUGACUCAGAAUCUGUAAGUGCUAAAUAUAUUUUAAAGACAAUCUCCAAACUUCAUUAUGUUUCCAAAUUUUUUUUUCUACAGGAAGACCCUUUUCUUUUUUUGGCUUUUUAGCAUUCUUUUUUCAGUAAUAGUCGAUAGUGUAAGAAAAUGGGAUUCACCAACCAAACCUUAAAACAAACAUGUCAUUUUUUCAGAGACACUCUCCUCAUGUUUCAUCCCACUUCUUUAAGAUUUGUCACAGUUCAAAGCAUGCAGGUCAGGUUUGUUACUCUUGUGGUCUUCAAGUUGUGAUGUGUUGUGACAGGAGUGUGUGACAUGUUUGUGUCAAACAGGGCUUGAAACAUAAAACUGCAACUCAAGGGGAAGAAUUCACUUUUCACCACUCUUUCAAUUGUUCACUUUCUUCUCAUUUUUGCUUUUCCUUUUCUCUCCAUCUUCACUAAAUUUGACUUGAUCACGUUUAGCCCUCUCAUCAUUAGCCUCUUUAAUCCAGGAUUUCUAAACCCAGCAGGAAGAGCCCUCCUCCUCCUCAAUGUGCAAAGUUGUUGAAUUCAAUGGGGACUAAAAGCUGUAACAGUUUUAAUGUGAUAAUGAGCAGAACAGUCAAAAUACCUACUAAUCACCAUGGGGACUAUCGCUUUAGCCAAUCUUGGAGCACCUGUGUUCCUCAGACUGGACUAACACACACACAGAGAGAGAGAGAGAGAGAGGGAGAGAAAUGAAUAACUAAAUUGUUUAGUUUAGUGUUUUGAGUCAAAACCUGGCAUAUUCAUUUUCAGAAAGUAACUAGCUUUUAGCUUUCCUACAAACUGGAAAACAAACUUCCCAUCGUUGAUGUCAGAUUUGCUUUUUUUCCGAUCAUCAACCCGAUUUGUUGUCCAGCCAGUCAGCGCUGAUUCCCAAAUGGUUAUUUUGUGCUUGCACGUCCAUCUUUGAUUACAAAAUGUUUGUGCGAAAAGAAAUUUAAAAAUUACAGAUUAUCACAAAAAUAUUUUUAUACUUCCACGAAACAGAAAAUCCAGUUUCCUUUGAACUCCAGUGGGGGUUUUAGAGUAGGGUGACCAUAUUCUGACUUCCCAAAAAGAGGACAUGACUACGCGCGGGCAGAGUCAUGGAGUUGCACAAAGUUAAUUUUAAGAGUUUUUCGGAUCAAGUGACUUUUGCGCGUUUCUAACUCAGUAAGUCCACGUGACACAAAAUCAAAACUUACGUACAAAACCGCAGACAUUUGAGGGAUCUUAUACUCUUCCCCAGACAAAGCUGGACAAACCCGUACAGCCCCCCAAAAAAGAAGACAUGUCUGGGUAAAAGAGGACCCUACUUUAGAGGGAGUUUACGCACGGUCUGAAAACAAAGCAUGGACCCACUAAUAGGAGAGAGGGAGUUUGUUUGGCUGGUUGAACUUUUUUAAUCUUGUAGUGUACUUCUCUAGAGAGGUUCAGAGACAG
rnacentral:lncRNA from 1 species